UGAGCCAGUGAAUUGGGCAAAAUUUUAUGUUACUGCUACCAAUGUCCAACAAGGCCUUCCAAUCACAAUAAAAACAUCCAGGACCAUCACCUACACUGUGCACUGUCCAGUGGUACACAACAAAUCCAGGAGAAAAUGCAACAGUACGCAAUAAGCCCAGCUCCAUUGCUAUCACGUUAACUCGUUGAUGGGAUAGUCCUGCAGUACUUGACAUUCUUAGUAUCCUACAGUGACAUGCGUUCGCAUAAAAGGUGAGCAAGUGCUCCUUUGAUUGGACCCGGAGUGGCUGCUGCAUCCAAGCAUGCCACCAUCUUACCUUAAUAAUCCUCUUCUUCGUCGUUGUCCUUGAAUAAUCCCAGUCUCUGGAAGCAUUGCGCCAUGUUGGCCAAGAAGAAGCUUGUGGUGAUGGCGGUGAUGGAGACGCAGACGCCGGAGAAGAAGAUGAUCAGGCUCCCAGCUGGAGUGUGACUCUACCAGAGUCGGAACAGAUAGACAAGUCCAGAGGUGUUUUGUGAGCCAUCGCAUAACAGUCAGGAGCAGGAACUCUAAUGAUAAGUGAGAGACUUAGCAUAGCAUUCCACCUAAUUCCUGGCAGAAGUGACCGAUCUUCAACACUGACAGCUAUAUACGCUCUAGAUCAUGCACCUUUGAUACCAAUCAGAAGAUUACCUUCUCCAGAUGGACUGCAGCAGUUUAAGAGGCAACUUCCAACGCUCCUCUCCAAGGCAGGCAGUGACGGGCAAUAUUGGUCUUGCCAGUGAACCGCAUAAUCUGAUAAAAAGGGUCAGCAUGGUGGUGUAAUGUUUGGAGUAAUGGCAUACAAACCAGAGUUACUAAAGACCACUGUAUGUUGGCGUCCAAAGACACUUGCAAACUGCCCCUAGUACAUCUCAGACCAUGCAUGGGU